GUAUUCACUUCAGUAGUACCUAUACUAAAGUUGAAAAGAUACGGAGAAGAUUAACAAGGCCUUUGUGAAAAGAUGACAUGUAAAUACAUGUAGGAUUCCAUAUUUUA